UUCUGCCUGAGGUAUUUACAUGCACUGCAUGCCUGUGAGCUAUAAAUCGUUUGUUUACAAACUAAAAUUGUUUCAUUUUUUUUUAAAAUCUUCUAUCUUCAUUUUCCAUUUUGUAAAAAAGAUUGAAACUAGUGGUGGAAAAAAGUUUUAAAUAUGAAAUCUAGAGUCAGAGUUUAAAUGUUGGCAAGAAAUUGCUGGCAUUUUAUGAAAUCCUUUGCAGGUUUGACACAGAAUGGAUAGUAACUACAGAGCUGAAGAGAAACUACCUGUGGAGAGGCUGCCCUUCUUAACUUUGGUUUCCCCUCUGAACCUACUGGGGCCAGAGUUGGCUGCUGUCCUGCAGCUCAGAUGCCUCUCUGGAUAUAAAGCCUUUUGUUUAAGUCGGCUGCGCAACCCAUCUCCCUCAGGUGAAAACACACUUUUCAACAAUAUUCCACACACAGGUGCACUUUUCAUUGCUGCGGUUUGUAACCAACAGCUUACAGAUGGAGAAGACUGAAAAGACAUUGAUAAAUGUAUCUUAAGUAUUUUCCUGCA